ACCUGGGGAGGGGAGACUGAUCCUAGACCUGCAGAGGUAAAGAGCAGAUCACUGCAGCCCAGAUCAAGACCCUAAAGAAACUCCCUCUCUCUGUAACCCCCUCUUUCUCUCUGUAACCCCCUCUCUCUCUCUGUAACCCCCUCUUUCUCUCUGUAACCCCCUCUUUCUCUCUGUAACCCCCUCUCUCUCUCUGUAACCCCCUCUUUCUCUCUGUAACCCCCUCUUUCUCUCCCUAACCCCCUCUCUCUCUCCCUAACCCCCUCUCUCUCUCCCUAACCCCCUCUCUCUCUCUCCCUUUCUCUCUGUAACCCCCUCUCCUCUGUAACCCUCUCCCUCUUUCUCUCUGUAACUCUCUCUCCAGCUCUUCAGGCCCCCUUCUCUCUCUCUCCAGCUCUUCAGGCCCCCUUCUCUCUCUCUCCAGCUCUUCAGGCCCCCUUCUCUCUCUCUCUCUCUCUCCAGACUGGUCUAGGAUGGAAGGCCUUGUAGUCCUGAUCUAUGUGGGUCUUAAUCUCCAAAACAUCGUUUCCUUCUUUUGUUUUCGUUGCUCUUUAUCUUUUUGUGGAGCAGUUUGUUUUUAAAAGAAAUAUUUCCAAACCGUUUUAAUCUGGUUUUGAUGACAAAACAAGUUGUUGCUUAUUAAAUUCCCCCCGGGAUAUCUAGCCUCUUCCUCCUCUGUCCCUUCCUUCCUGUCUCUCUCCCAUCAGUGUGUUUAUUUUCUAUAGUUUAAAACUUGGCUAUUAUGUACGUUAGCCAUAUAUAUACUGUAUGUUUGGCUGUCUGAUAAACACAUACACAGUUCUUUCUCACACGUGUUAGAGGAAGGAGAAGGGAGGAAGGAGAGGAGGGAAGGGAGGAAGGAGAGGAGGGAAGGGAGGAAGGAAGGGAGGAAGGAGAGGAGGGAAGGGAGGAAGGAAGGGAGGAAGGAGAGGAGGGAAGGGAGGAAGGAGAGGAGGGAAGGGAGGAAGGAGAAGGGAGGAAGGAGAGGAGGGAAGGGAGGAAGGAGAGGAGGAAUUUGGCCACUUUUCAGAAAAAGCAGGGGGUAGACUAGACCCCCUUAAAUGUUAACUGAUGAAUAGACAAACAUGACUUAUUCUUUUCCUUUCGAUCUUUUUAGCAGUCAAACAUUGAGAACUUUGAAAUUAAAAUUUGUAUUGAAUUUUAAGUCUGUUGUUUAAUUACUGGGGGGGAUGAAUGUUACAGCAACUUCUACACAUUUGGUCUGAGAAGUGACGUUAGAGAUCCCAGCUGAUCUGUGAUCGCUUGCUCUCCCCUGGCCUUCCCAGGGAGAUGGAUUCUAUCCACCACGCCUUACGGUCCAUGUUUCUUCUUCUUGCUUGUUUUGAAUAAAGGAAGUAUUUUUAAAAACGACUUCAGAAUCUCACAGACAGACCGGAAAUUCAAACAGUUUAGGGAAAAUGUUUUUAUGUGUUUCUCUUCUACAACCUUGCAAGUUUAUUUCUAUAUUUUAGUCAGAAAGUGUUUUCAUUUCUGCCAGACAUUUGUUUUUGUUGUGGAUGUUUCAGGAUGGUUUUCACAUUUAAUUUUUAUGCAGAAAAUAAAUCCCUUUUUAGAUGUAACUCCGUGUUUAUUCAGAUCAACAACAAAACAUUCCACUGUCCGUCAAGAGUCGAUUCUCCAAUACUUCCGUUGGCCCAUCAAUUCAUGCACCUUGGUUGGAAGUAGGCGAUGGAAGGGUGGACGGUAGGUAGCCUAGACCCCCAGGAGGUUACUACAGGAGGUGGACGGCAGGUAGCCUAGACCCCCAGCAGGUUACUACAGGAGGUGGACGGCAGGUAGCCUAGACCCCCAGGAGGUGGACGGCAGGUAGCCUAGAUCCCCAGGAGGUUACUACAGGAGGACGGCCUAGACCCACAGGAGGUUACUACAGGAGGAGGACGGCAGGUAGCCUAGACCCCCAGGAGGUGGACGGCAGGUAGCCUAGAUCCCCAGGAGGUUACUACAGGAGGACGGCCUAGACCCACAGGAGGUUACUACAGGAGGAGGACGGCAGGUAGCCUAGACCCCCAGGAGGUGGACGGCAGGUAGCCUAGAUCCCCAGGAGGUUACUACAGGAGGACGGCCUAGACCCACAGGAGGUUACUACAGGAGGAGGACGGCAGGUAGCCUAGACCCCCAGGAGGUUACUACAGGAGGUGGACGGAAGGUAGCUUAGACCCCCAGGAGGUGGACAGCAGGUAGACUAGACCCCCAGGAGGUUACUACAGGAGGUGGACAGCAGCUAGCCAAGACCCUCAGGUUACUACAGGAGGUGGACGGCAGGUAGCCUAGACCCCCAGGAGGUGGACAGCAGGUAGACUAGACCCCCAGGAGGUUACUACAGGAGGUGGACAGCAGCUAGCCUAGACCCUCAGUAGGUUACUACAGGAGGUGGACGGCAGGUAGACUAGACCCUCAGUAGGUUACUACAGGAGGAUGGCCUAGACCCCCAGCAGGUUACUACAGGAGGAGGACGGCAGGUAGCCUAGACCCCCAGGAGGUUACUACAGGAGGUGGACGGAAGGUAGCCUAGACCCCCAGGAGAUUACUACAGGAGGUGGACGGCCUAGACCCCCAGGAGGUGGACGGCAGGUAGCCUAGACCCCCAGGAGGUUACUACAGGAGGUAGCCUAGACCCCCAGGAGGUUACUACAGGAGGACGGCCUAGACCCCCAGGAGGUUACUACAGGAGGAGGACGGCAGGUAGCCUAGACCCCCAGGAGGUUACUACAGGAGGACGGCCUAGACCCCAGGAGGUUACUACAGGAGGACGGCCUAGACCCCCAGGAGGUGGACGGCAGGUAGCCUAGACCCCCAGGAGGUGGACGGCAGGUAG